CUCAAAAUCUCCCAAUUCACUCACUCUUACCCCAGCGAUGCCCUCUCUUCCCUCCGCUCCAUAAGAGAAACUCUCGUCUCCUCCUUCUUCUGAUCAACCCAAAAGCCCACCAUGUUUUCAAGUUUUGCCCCUCCUGUUUUUCUUUAUUUUCCGAUUUCCACUACUCUCUUACAGAGAAGAAUUUUCCUCGGGGCCAACCAUACCUCUGCCCGCUUCUGCUCCCGUUAACCG
rnacentral:misc_RNA from 1 species